rnacentral:rRNA from 1 species
UACGUAGGGGGCUAGCGUUGUCCGGAUUUAUUGGGCGUAAAGAGCGUGUAGGCGGCCAGGUAGGUCUGCUGUGAAAACUCGAGGCUCAACCUCGAGACGUCGGCGGAAACCAUCUGGCUAGAGUCCGGAAGAGGAGAGUGGAAUUCCUGGUGUAGCGGUGAAAUGCGCAGAUAUCAGGAAGAACACCCGUGGCGAAGGCGGCUCACUGGCCCGGAACUGACGCUGAGACGCGAAAGCGUGGGGAGCAAACAGG